AUACGGAGGAGGCAAGCGUUGUUCGGAAUCACUGGGCUUAAAGCGCGUGUAGGCGGCCUCGCAAGUAUCUUGUGAAAGCCCUCGGCUCAACCGAGGAAUGGCUUGGUAUACUGCGGGGCUUGAGGCAGGUAGGGGUGCCUGGAACUCUAGGUGGAGCGGCGAAAUGCGUAGAGAUCUAGAGGAACGCCUGUGGCGAAAGCGGGGCACUGGGCCUGACAUGACGCUGAGGCGCGAAAGCGUGGGGAGCAAACAGGAUUAGAAACCCCAGUAGUCC
rnacentral:rRNA from 1 species